rnacentral:rRNA from 1 species
AUUGAACGCUGGCGGCAGGCCUAACACAUGCAAGUCGAACGGUAACAGGAAGCAGCUUGCUGCUUCGCUGACGAGUGGCGGACGGGUGAGUAAUGUCUGGGAAACUGCCUGAUGGAGGGGGAUAACUACUGGAAACGGCAGCUAAUACCGCAUAACGUCGCAAGACCAAAGAGGGGGACCUUCGGGCCUCUUGCCAUCGGAUGUGCCCAGAUGGGAUUAGCUAGUAGGUGGGGUAACGGCUCACCUAGGCGACGAGCCCUAGCUGGUCUGAGAGGACGACCAGCCACUCUGGAACAGAGACACGGUCCAGACUCCUACGGGGGGCAGCAGGGGGGAAUAUUGCACAAUGGGCGCAAGCCUGAUGCAGCCAUGCCGCGUGUAUGAAGAAGGCCUUCGGGUUGUAAAGUACUUUCAGCGGGGAGGAAGGCGAUAAGGUUAAUAACCUUGUCGAUUGACGUUACCCGCAGGAGAAGCACCGGCUAACUCCGUGCCAGCAGCCGCCGCCG